rnacentral:rRNA from 1 species
GGAUCCAGACUUUGAUCAUGGCUCAGGAUGAACGCUAGCUACAGGCUUAACACAUGCAAGUCGAGGGGCAGCAUCAUCAAAGCUUGCUUUGAUGGAUGGCGACCGGCGCACGGGUGAGUAACACGUAUCCAACCUGCCGACAACACUGGGAUAGCCUUUCGAAAGAAAGAUUAAUACCGGAUGGCAUAGUUUUCCCGCAUGGGAUGAUUAUUAAAGAAUUUCGGUUGUCGAUGGGGAUGCGUUCCAUUAGGCAGUUGGCGGGGUAACGGCCCACCAAACCAACGAUGGAUAGGGGUUCUGAGAGGAAGGUCCCCCACAUUGGAACUGAGACACGGUCCAAACUCCUACGGGAGGCAGCAGUGAGGAAUAUUGGUCAAUGGACGAGAGUCUGAACCAGCCAAGUAGCGUGAAGGAUGACUGCCCUAUGGGUUGUAAACUUCUUUUAUACGGGAAUAAAGUUAGCCACGUGUGGCUUUUUGUAUGUACCGUAUGAAUAAGGAUCGGCUAACUCCGUGCCAGCAGCCGCGGUAAUACGGAGGAUCCGAGCGUUAUCCGGAUUUAUUGGGUUUAAAGGGAGCGUAGGCGGGUUGUUAAGUCAGUUGUGAAAGUUUGCGGCUCAACCGUAAAAUUGCAGUUGAUACUGGCGACCUUGAGUGCAACAGAGGUAGGCGGAAUUCGUGGUGUAGCGGUGAAAUGCUUAGAUAUCACGAAGAACUCCGAUUGCGAAGGCAGCUUACUGGAUUGUAACUGACGCUGAUGCUCGAAAGUGUGGGUAUCAAACAGGAUUAGAUACCCUGGUAGUCCACACAGUAAACGAUGAAUACUCGCUGUUGGCGAUAUACAGUCAGCGGCCAAGCGAAAGCAUUAAGUAUUCCACCUGGGGAGUACGCCGGCAA